rnacentral:rRNA from 1 species
AUUGAACGCUGGCGGCAUGCUUUACACAUGCAAGUCGAACGGUAACAGGCCUUCGGGUGCUGACGAGUGGCGAACGGGUGAGUAACGCAUCGGAACGUACCCAGAGGUGGGGGAUAACGCAGCGAAAGCUGUGCUAAUACCGCAUGUGAUCUGAGGAUGAAAGCGGGGGACCGAGCAGCAAUGUUUGGCCUCGCGCCUUUGGAGCGGCCGAUGUCGGAUUAGCUAGUUGGUGGGGUAAAGGCCUACCAAGGCGACGAUCCGUAGCUGGUCUGAGAGGACGACCAGCCACACUGGGACUGAGACACGGCCCAGACUCCUACGGGAGGCAGCAGUGGGGAAUUUUGGACAAUGGGCGCAAGCCUGAUCCAGCAAUGCCGCGUGCGGGAAGAAGGCCUUCGGGUUGUAAACCGCUUUUGGCAGGAACGAAACGGUGUCCGCUAAUACCGGGCGCUAAUGACGGUACCUGCAGAAUAAGCACCGGCUAACUACGUG